UUACCUGGCCCUGACAUCCGGGGAACUCCCAGAGAUGGGAGGUGCCGCAAGGAGCCCCGAGACAGGUGGUGCAUGGUUGUCGUCAGCUCGUGUCGUGAGAUGUUGGGUUAAGUCCCGCAACGAGCGCAACCCUUGCCUUUAGUUGCCAGCAUUAAGUUGGGCACUCUGGAGGGACUGCCAGGGAUAACCUGGAGGAAGGUGGGGAUGACGUCAAAUCAUCAUGCCCCUUAUGCUUAGGGCUACACACGUGCUACAAUGGGUGGUACAGAGGGCAGCCAAGUCGUGAGGCGGAGCUAAUCCCUUAAAGCCAUUCUCAGUUCGGAUUGUAGGCUGAAACUCGCCUACAUGAAGCUGGAGUUACUAGUAAUCGCAGAUCAGAAUGCUGCGGUGAAUGCGUUCCCGGGUCUU
rnacentral:rRNA from 1 species